CCUACGGGUGGCAGUAGUGAGGAAUAUUGGUCAAUGGACGAGAGUCUGAACCAGCCAAGUAGCGUGAAGGAUGACUGCCCUAUGGGUUGUAAACUUCUUUUAUAUGGGAAUAAAAUGUUCCACGUGUGGGAUUUUGUAUGUACCAUAUGAAUAAGGAUCGGCUAACUCCGUGCCAGCAGCCGCGGUAAUACGGAGGAUCCGAGCGUUAUCCGGAUUUAUUGGGUUUAAAGGGAGCGUAGGUGGAUUGUUAAGUCAGUUGUGAAAGUUUGCGGCUCAACCGUAAAAUUGCAGUUGAAACUGGCAGUCUUGAGUACAGUAGAGGUGGGCGGAAUGCGUGGUGUAGCGGUGAAAUGCUUAGAUAUCACGAAGAACUCCGAUUGCGAAGGCAGUUCACUGGACUGCAACUGACACUGAGGCUCGAAAGUGUGGGUAUCAAACAGGAUUAGAUACCCUUGUAGUC
rnacentral:rRNA from 1 species